rnacentral:tRNA from 1 species
GCGCGGGUGCUGAAAUAGGUAGACAGUCGACACUUAAAAUGUCGUGGCCAAAAGCCGUGCGGGUUCGAUUCCCGCCCCGCGCACCA